ACGCUGACACCUACGGGAGGAGCAGUGGGGAAUAUUGCACAAUGGGGGAAACCCUGAUGCAGCAACGCCGCGUGAAGGAAGAAGGUUUUCGGAUCGUAAACUUCUAUCAAUAGGGAAGAAAGAAAUGACGGUACCUAAAUAAGAAGCCCCGGCUAACUACGUGCCAGCAGCCGCGGUAAUCUGAGCGGGCUGGCAAGGC
rnacentral:rRNA from 1 species